rnacentral:misc_RNA from 1 species
GUAAUAUCUAAGGCACCUGCUACUGCUAGCUGCCACAGAAAGCUUGAACUAAGAGCAUUUCAAAAAUCUGUGCGAUAAUUUUCUGGCUUAUACCACAGUGAGAAAUCAAUUCCCUUGGCUUUCAGUUUCUCAGUUGCAGGUGCAAUCCUCUCCAACAGCUUCAUAUGCAUCACACCAUUAGAUACCAAGAGAGAUCUAUCGAAUGCACAGAAUUUUCCACCAUCCAUUCGAGUAACUGUCCCACCAGCUUCUUCAACCAUCAAAACACCAGCAGCCAUAUCCCAUGGUUUUAGACGGUAUUCCCAAUAUGCUUCUACAAUCCCUAAUGCUACAUGGCACAUGUCAACUGCAGCAGCACCAAGCCUUCUCACACCCCUGCUAACAUCAGUAUAUUCCUUGAAUAAUUCAAUAUUAGUAGUCCAUGCGUCAUCAUGAUCAUAACCGAAGCCAGUCACAAGAAGAGAUUGCUCCACCUUAUCAGUUUGACUCACAUGAAUUUUGUGGCCAUUACAAAAUGCUCCCCCACCAGCAGUUGCAGAAAAUAUACGUGUAUUCCAUGCCAUAGAGCCCCCAACAAACUCUACCACGGCAGCAGCAGCAGGAUUUCCUCGAAACAGAACUCCCACAGAAACAGCAAAGCUAGGAUAACCAUGUGCAAAAUUUGUUGUUCCAUCUAGAGGAUCAAUGCACCAGAGAUAAUCAGAUAAUGUAUCUCCUAUGACACCUCCCUCCUCACCAAGAAUAAGGUGAUCUGCAAAAUUCUUUCUAACGAC